rnacentral:rRNA from 1 species
AGUGAACGCUGGCGGCGUGCCUAAUACAUGCAAGUCGAACGGAAUUUAAAAGGGCUUGCUCUUUUAAAUUUAGUGGCGCACGGGUGAGUAAUAUAUAGCUAAUCUGCCCCUUGCUGGAGGACAACAGUUAGAAAUGACUGCUAAUACUCCAUACUCCUUUUUACCAUAAGAUAAAUCGGGAAAGAAUUUCGGCAAGGGAUGAGACUAUAUCGUAUCAGCUAGUCGGUGGGGUAACGGCCUACCGAGGCUAUGACGCGUAACUGGUCUGAGAGGAUGAUCAGUCACAUUGGAACUGAGACACGGUCCAAACUCCUACGGGAGGCAGCAGUAGGGAAUAUUGCGCAAUGGGGGAAACCCUGACGCAGCAACGCCGCGUNGAGGAUGACACUUUUCGGAGCGUAAACUCCUUUUGUUAGGGAAGAAUAANGA